UACGGAGGGUGCAAGCGUUGUCCGGAUUUAUUGGGUUUAAAGGGUGCGUAGGCGGCUCUGUAAGUCAGUGGUGAAAUCCCGCAGCUCAACUGUGUGAAUUGCCAUUGAUACUGUGGAGCUUGAGUACAGACGAGGUAGGCGGAAUUGACGGUGUAGCGGUGAAAUGCAUAGAUAUCGUCAAGAACACCGAUUGCGAAGGCAGCUUACUAGGCUGUAACUGACGCUGAGGCACGAAAAGUGUGGGGAGCAAACAGG
rnacentral:rRNA from 1 species